rnacentral:lncRNA from 1 species
GUAUGCCUUCGUUGAUCUGUUCUGACAAUACAGAUGAAUGUCUCUUUCUCCCCCGUCAGUCGAACCACUUUACGGUUCAAUGCUUGUCUGUAUUCCUUUCAGCAGGUAGCUAUUCAGAUAAGUUUCUUUCUGACGUGCUGCUAGCUUCCUUUAUUUAUAUCCAUACCACGUUUGGGUCGGUACUUUGGUCUGGACAUCCCCCACAUGAUUGGAGAUGGAAGGAUUGCCUCUCCCUUCUAGGGAGGCUU